rnacentral:rRNA from 1 species
GCCCCGGCUAACUACGUGCCAGCAGCCGCGGUAAUACGUAGGGGGCGAGCGUUGUCCGGAAUGAUUGGGGUGUAAAGGGUACGUAGGCGGCUUUUUAAGUUUGAACGUGAAAGCCCGGGGCUUAACUCCGGCAAGCGUUGAAAACUGGAAGGCUUGAGUGAUGGAAGGGACAGUGGAAUUUCUAGUGUAGCGGUGAAAUGCGCAGAUAUUAGGAAGAAUACCAGAGGCGAAAGCGACUUUCUAGCGAUGAUCUGACGCUGAGGUACGAAAGCGUGGGAAGCAAACAGGAUUAGAUACCCUGGUAGUCCACGCAGUAAACGAUGAAUACUUGAUGUAGGAGGUAUCGACCCCUUCUGUGUCGAAGUUAACGUAUUAAGUAUUCCACCUGGGGAGUACGACCGCA